rnacentral:rRNA from 1 species
GUGCCAGCCGCCGCGGUAAUACAGAGGGUGCGAGCGUUGUCCGGAAUUACUGGGCGUAAAGGGCGCGUAGGCGGCCCGAUAAGUAGGGGGUGAAAUUCCGUGGCUUAACCACGGAACUGCCUUCUAGACUGUCAGGCUUGAGCACGGUAGAGGCAGAUGGAAUUCCCGGUGUAGCGGUGGAAUGCGUAGAGAUCGGGAAGAACACCAGUGGCGAAGGCGGUCUGCUGGGCCGUUGCUGACGCUGAGGCGCGAUAGCGUGGGGAGCAAACAGGAUUAGAAACCCGUGUAGUCC